GACGAACGCUGGCGGCGUGCUUAACACAUGCAAGUCGAACGGUGAAGCUCCAGCUUGCUGGAGUGGAUCAGUGGCGAACGGGUGAGUAACACGUGAGCAACCUGCCCCAGACUCUGGAAUAAGCGCUGGAAACGGCGUCUAAUACUGGAUACGAGAUCAAGCCGCAUGGUUAUGGUCUGGAAAGUUUUUCGGUUUGGGAUGGGCUCGCGGCCUAUCAGCUUGUUGGUGAGGUAAUGGCUCACCAAGGCGACGACGGGUAGCCGGCCUGAGAGGGCGACCGACCACACUGGGACUGAGACACGGCCCAGACUCCUACGGGAGGCAGCAGUGGGGAAUAUUGCACAAUGGGCGAAAGCCUGAUGCAGCGACGCCGCGUGAGGGAUGACGGCCUUCGGGUUGUAAACCUCUUUCAGCAGGGAAGAAGCGAAAGUGACGGUACCUGCAGAAGAAGCACCGGCUAACUACGUG
rnacentral:rRNA from 1 species